GACGAACGCUGGCGGCGUGCUUAACACAUGCAAGUCGAACGGAAAGGCCCUGCUUUUGUGGGGUGCUCGAGUGGCGAACGGGUGAGUAACACGUGAGUAACCUGCCCUUGACUUUGGUAUAACUUCAGGAAACUGGGGCUAAUACCGGAUAGGAGCUCCUGCUGCAUGGUGGGGGUUGGAAAGUUUCGGCGGUUGGGGAUGGACUCGCGGCUUAUCAGCUUGUUGGUGGGGUAGUGGCUUACCAAGGCUUUGACGGGUAGCCGGCCUGAGAGGGUGACCGGCCACAUUGGGACUGAGAUACGGCCCAGACUCCUACGGGAGGAAGCAGUGGGGAAUAUUGCACAAUGGGCGGAAGCCUGAUGCAGCAACGCCGCGUGCGGGAUGACGGCCUUCGGGUUGUAAACCGCUUUCGCCUGUGACGAAGCGUGAGUGACGGUAAUGGGUAAAGAAGCACCGGCUAACUACGUG
rnacentral:rRNA from 1 species